GACGAACGCUGGCGGCGUGCUUAACACAUGCAAGUCGAACGACGAAGCUGGAGCUUGUUCCGGUGGAUUAGUGGCGAACGGGUGAGUAACACGUGUGCAAUCUGCCCUUGACUCUGGGAUAACUGCGGGAAACUGUAGCUAAUACCGGAUAAUUUCACUGGAAGGCAUGUUCUGGUGAACAAAGAAUUUCGGUCAAGGAUGAGCUCGCGGCCUAUCAGCUUGUUGGUGAGGUAACGGCUCACCAAGGCGACGAGUGGAAGCCGGCCUGAGAGGGGAGCCGGCCACACUGGGAAUGAGAAGCGGCCCAUACUCCGACGUGGGGCGGGAGUGGGGAGUAUUGCACAAUGGGCGCGAGGCUGAUGCAGCAACGCCGCGUGAGGGAUGAAGGCCUGCGGGUUGUAAACCACUUUUAGCCGGGAAGAAGCGAAAGUGACGGUACCUGCAUAACAAGCACCGGCUAACUACGUGCCAGCAGCCGCCGUAA
rnacentral:rRNA from 1 species